CUUAGAAGCAGCCAUCAUUUAAAGAAAGCGUAAUAGCUCACUGGUCGAGUCGGCCUGCGCGGAAGAUGUAACGGGGCUAAACCAUGCACCGAAGCUGCGGCAGCGACACUAUGUGUUGUUGGGUAGGGGAGCGUUCUGUAAGCCUGUGAAGGUGGCCUGUGAGGGUUGCUGGAGGUAUCAGAAGUGCGAAUGCUGACAUAAGUAACGAUAAAGCGGGUGAAAAGCCCGCUCGCCGGAAGACCAAGGGUUCCUGUCCAACGUUAAUCGGGGCAGGGUGAGUCGACCCCUAAGGCGAGGCCGAAAGGCGUAGUCGAUGGGAAACGGGUUAAUAUUCCCGUACUUGGUGUUACUGCGAAGGGGGGACGGAGAAGGCUAUGUUGGCCGGGCGACGGUUGUCCCGGUUUAAGCGUGUAGGUGUGUGUUCCAGGUAAAUCCGGUUCACUUUAACACUGAGGCGUGAUGACGAGGCACUACGGUGCUGAAGCAACAAAUGCCCUGCUUCCAGGAAAAGCCUCUAAGCAUCAGGUAACAUCAAAUCGUACCCCAAACCGACACAGGUGGUCAGGUAGAGAAUACCAAGGCGCUUGAGAGAACUCGGGUGAAGGAACUAGGCAAAAUGGUGCCGUAACUUCGGGAGAAGGCACGCUGACAUGUAGGUGAAGUGAUUUACUCAUGGAGCUGAAGUCAGUCGAAGAUACCAGCUGGCUGCAACUGUUUAUUAAAAACACAGCACUGUGCAAACACGAAAGUGGACGUAUACGGUGUGACGCCUGCCCGGUGCCGGAAGGUUAAUUGAUGGGGUCAGCGCAAGCGAAGCUCCUGAUCGAAGCCCCGGUAAACGGCGGCCGUAACUAUAACGGUCCUAAGGUAGCGAAAUUCCUUGUCGGGUAAGUUCCGACCUGCACGAAUGGCGUAAUGAUGGCCAGGCUGUCUCCACCCGAGACUCAGUGAAAUUGAACUCGCUGUGAAGAUGCAGUGUACCCGCGGCAAGACGGAAAGACCCCGUGAACCUUUACUAUAGCUUGACACUGAACAUUGAGCCUUGAUGUGUAGGAUAGGUGGGAGGCUUUGAAGUGUGGACGCCAGUCUGCAUGGAGCCGACCUUGAAAUACCACCCUUUAAUGUUUGAUGUUCUAACGUGGACCCGUAAUCCGGGUUGCGGACAGUGUCUGGUGGGUAGUUUGACUGGGGCGGUCUCCUCCUAAAGAGUAACGGAGGAGCACGAAGGUUGGCUAAUCCUGGUCGGACAUCAGGAGGUUAGUGCAAUGGCAUAAGCCAGCUUGACUGCGAGCGUGACGGCGCGAGCAGGUGCGAAAGCAGGUCAUAGUGAUCCGGUGGUUCUGAAUGGAAGGGCCAUCGCUCAACGGAUAAAAGGUACUCCGGGGAUAACAGGCUGAUACCGCCCAAGAGUUCAUAUCGACGGCGGUGUUUGGCACCUCGAUGUCGGCUCAUCACAUCCUGGGGCUGAAGUAGGUCCCAAGGGUAUGGCUGUUCGCCAUUUAAAGUGGUACGCGAGCUGGGUUUAGAACGUCGUGAGACAGUUCGGUCCCUAUCUGCCGUGGGCGCUGGAGAACUGAGGGGGGCUGCUCCUAGUACGAGAGGACCGGAGUGGACGCAUCACUGGUGUUCGGGUUGUCAUGCCAAUGGCACUGCCCGGUAGCUAAAUGCGGAAGAGAUAAGUGCUGAAAGCAUCUAAGCACGAAACUUGCCCCGA
rnacentral:rRNA from 1 species